UGAUGUGAGGGCAAUCUGGCUGUGACACUUGCCAUCCCAUUGAUCACCAGGGUUGAUUUGGUUAAUCUGGGCGGGUGUCCCCUUUCUUCCUCACCGCUCGAUAUGGGUCCCACCCAAAGCUUCACAAUGGUGGAAGAAGAGGGCAGCCUUUUCCAAAUAGAGGGUGUAUGAGUAGCUACACCCCCCUGCUAGAUCCUCCAAACAAGCUCUCAAGACUAUGAAAUCAAGGGGACUGGGUGGUGGCACAAUGGGUUAAGCGCACAUGAUGCAAAGCGCAAGGAAUGGUAUAAGGAUCCUGAUU
ensembl:misc_RNA 7SK 7SK RNA